UACGAAGGGUGCUAGCGUUGUUCGGAAUUACUGGGCGUAAAGCGCGCGUAGGCUGCCAUUCAAGUCAGGGGUGAAAUCCUUGGGCUCAACCCAAGAAUUGCCUUUGAGACUGUAUGGCUAGAGUGUCGGAGGGGAUAGCGGAAUUCCUAAUGUAGAGGUGAAAUUCGUAGAUAUUAGGAGGAACACCGGUGGCGAAGGCGGCUAUCUGGACGACAACUGACGCUGAGGCGCGAAAGCACGGGGAUCAAACAGG
rnacentral:rRNA from 1 species